UAGUCAUGGUUUUUUAGAAGCAUGGUAGCCAGAAAAAUUAAGCCUAAGCUGACUGUUGAUUCCUCAUGUGGAAAACAGAACAUCCUCUUUUGCAAUUCAGUUCCCUACUUUUGCGUCUAUUCAUUUCCAUUUACUCAAAUGACCAUCAGUAUUUCCAGCAUGACACAGCCCUGGAACCAGAAAUAGAUCCCUGUGUUAAGCUGUUAUGGUUUUGUGAUUUUUUGUUGUCGGUAUUCCACAUCAUUACAUCAUGUAAGGUAUGGGCAGUUAAAGAGUUAAUUCCCCGGUUACUGCAAACUACCUUUUUUGGUGUGGCCCUCUGAGGGGGAGGGGAGGAGGUGCACUCCCCAGGGGUCUUUGCAUUAGAGGGGGUGGUGAAGCCACGUGGGAGAGGCGGGGGCUGUUCUUCCCAGCCCGGCGGAGAAAGCACGUGGUCCUCCUGCAGUUUACUGUGUAAGAUUUUCAGCCUGUAAACCCUCUAUCAUAAUUCUACUAGCCUCAUUUUGAUAUAUUUAGUAAAAUUAGUUGUUCCUCCUCAGAUCGGUGCCGCUGUUUUUGUGUUAAAUCUGUCUGCGGGUCCCCCUCUUCCCAGGUUGCGGCUCCGCGGCUUCUCUGCUGCUUUAGCCGCCGGACUGCCCGGGGGCUGGCUCUUAUCGCCGGCAAUUUUUUUUUCUUUCCUUCCUCUUCUCUCGUUUUUUUUUCUUUCGGGCCUGUCCCCCUUGUCACGGACGCAGACCCUUAGACAAUACCGUGACAAAUAUUGGUGGAGGAUGCGGGCACUAGAUCUGCUUUCAAUUUUUGGAAUGAUGCAUAAAGGAUUAACGGUAAUCAUGUUCCUCGGAACAUACUGGUUUCUGGUAAUGGCUAUCAUGUUCUGUGUUGGAGUUGUGUGUACAUAUAACUACAUAAUGGCGCUGAUGGAGAUACCGGCCUGGUGCUUGUACCUCCCGGAGGGAGUGGCUAGUUUUACAAACAGCACCGUGGUGAGGCUGGCUUCCAAGUUCUCCCCUCAGUUCCUUAUGCACCCUUGGAAUUUCAAUCUAGCAAUCGUGAUACCAAUAGCUUUGAAUGUUUUCCUCCUAAUAAUAAUUAACAUUAUGUGGAGGAAACUCUCCCCAAAACCGGAAAAUGCUGAGUGGCAGGGAAUAUGGAGAGGCCUAGGGAAGACCUUAGAAACAUGGGGACCCCCGGUGUCAUGGGAUUUCACCCUUGAACACCUGUGGGAUCCUGAGAAGCUCGGUCAGUUUUUGAGUCAGGGAUGGCGCGGCCUAGGCAGAUCUGAGGAGGCACAACUUAUUUGGGGCCUGGCUUGUGCUUAUCAAGCUCUAUACAACACUGUUCUUGAGAGAGAAAGUUUCCCGGCUGAAAUUCGAACCAGAGGGGGAAGCCCCCAAGCUAAACCUGAGCAAGCACAGGAGGCACCAGUAUCCGUGGCAGUUGCUCCUGUGGAAAGACAGAAAGGGAAACGGGUGCCCUCGCGUCUGGAACGGAAGGAAGAAGCGGAGAAGGUAGAGGAAGAAGCGGAGAAGGUAGAGGAAGAAGCGGAGAAGGUAGAGGAAGAUCCAGGCGAGGGGCCCUCCCCGAACGCAUCGUUACCAACAAAGGCAACCGAAGAAAACAAGAGACAUGGAGAGGAUAGGGAGGAGGAAGGCGUCACUGUUACAACUGUCCGCCGACCUCUGAUAAUGACCGAAAUCAUAGGCUCAAGAAAGGAGUGUGACGAACCCGUAGCAGUAUUGGAAACACCUGAUGGAGAUCAGGAUGGUCAGAAGAGCCUACUGAAGGAGCUGAUCAAACUAAUUACAGGCGAUGAACUCUCCUCCUCACCUGUAUCAUCAAAAAUCUCAGCUAUCAGAGGCAGACGCCUUCCUGCUCGAGCAAAUGAUGGUGGCAGAUCUAUGGCACGUGCCGCCUUGUGGAGUUACUUACGCGAGCAUGGAGAAGACAUGAAACAAUGGCAUAAGAAACCCACUCCGGUACUACGAGCACGGGGGAGAGAAUAAUCCAAAUCCUUCUGCAAGCUGGCUUUGCUAUUAAGCAAAACAAAGUGAAAGGGCCUGCACAGGAAAUUCAGUUCCUAGGAGUAAAGUGGCAAGAUGGGCGUCGUCACAUCUCAGCAGAUGUGAUCAACAAAAUCACUGCCAUGUCUCCACCCGCUAACAAGAAAGAGACGCAAUCAUUUUUGGGUGUAGUGGGCUUUUGGAGAAUGCACAUUCC
rnacentral:lncRNA from 1 species